rnacentral:rRNA from 1 species
GCACUUUCAGUCGUGAGGAAGGUAGUGUAGUUAAUAGCUGCAGUAUUUGACGUUAGCGACAGAAGAAGCACCGGCUAACUCCGUGCCAGCAGCCGCGGUAAUACGGAGGGUGCGAGCGUUAAUCGGAAUUACUGGGCGUAAAGCGCAUGCAGGUGGUUUGUUAAGUCAGAUGUGAAAGACCCGGGGCGUCAACCUCGGAAUAGCAUUUGUAAACUAGGCAGACUAGAGUACUGUAGAGGGGGGUAGGAAUUUCAGGUGUAGCGGUGAAAUGCGUAGAGAUCUGAAGGAAUACCGGUGGCGAAGGCGGCCCCCUGGACAGAUACUGACACUCAGAUGCGAAAGCGUGGGGAGCAAACAGGAUUAGAUACCCUGGUAG